CAGUCGCCACGGGAACACGAAGGGUGCAAGCGGUACUCGGAAUUACUGGGCGUAAAGCGUGCGUAGGUGGUGGUUUAAGUCCGUUGUGAAAGCCCUGGGCUCAACCUGGGAAUUGCAGUGGAUACUGGAUCACUAGAGUGUGGUAGAGGAUAGUGGAAUUUCCGGUGUAGCAGUGAAAUGCGUAGAGAUCGGAAGGAACAUCUGUGGCGAAGGCGACUAUCUGGGCCAACACUGACACUGAGGCACGAAAGCGUGGGGAGCAAACAGGAUUAGAUACCCCCGUAGUCCCUGUCUCUUAUAC
rnacentral:rRNA from 1 species